AUAUCUCGGCUUCUAUAGCUUCGAUUCAAUUCGUUUAUGGUUUCUUUUAUUCCUUAUUCUCCUCCUGUCAUUUCUUCUGAUAUUUCAAUAUUUAUGUUUAAUAGUUUUUUCCAAUUUUCUCCGAUUCUAUAAUAGCUAGAACCGAUUCGUUUUGACAGACGGAUAUCUCUUAAUAUUCUCAAGAACUUUUAUAACAUACAAAAAGUUGUCAGAGUUAUAGUUUAUUUAUAAAAAAAUAAAAAACAUUUUUUCAAAAUUUUUUGUGGGUGUAUUAAUAAUGUGACUGUAGGUCAUGUGCUUAAUGGUUCAGAUGUAACAGUUCGUAGAUCUUAUCUUAACACACCAUGGUUCACUAAACAAUCCACCAGUAUUCGGCGAUUGACACUUAUCACUAAAAAUUCGCAGAUUCUAAAUGCACAACCGUCACAAGCCAUCGUUUUUGUUUUGAAAAGCACUCAGCAAUUAUAUAUUUCCAGAUACUUUUUUACUGUUUUGACUUUCUUUUAAGGUCAUAAUAGUCGGCUCCACUCUAUUUAUAUACCUACACAGAGAAAAUAAUCUUGAAAGUUCCAGAAGAGAUAUGGCAACCGCGCCUUUUAACGAAGUAUUUAGAAGCAUUUAACCAUGUUAUCUAAGACAUACGUAAUUACAUCUUUAUAACAAGUACUUUGGUCCGUGGGGACCAGUAGAAAUUUUUGUCAGUACUACAAAAAAAAGUCUCCACAAUUAUCCCGUGAAGUGCCCUAAACACGCAGUGGGGAAGAGACCUGCCGUAUCCUCAUAAGGCUCUGAGUUCAAACCUUAGCCUCGGCAUGGUGCUCUACCGACCUUUUUCUUUUUUUAGUACUUCGAAAAAAUUAAUAUCUAUAGUAAAUAUAUAGAUGUUAAUUUACGCUCUGCUCUCAAGUAACUCGUAUAAAUAUAACCAAUAUUUAAUACCUUCUUAUUUUAUAAUAAUACGCUAGUGGCAUCUAGGGUUAAUACGCUAAAACAGAGUCCUCAAUUAAUACACUGUUGUAUUGGCGAACGUUAUGGCGUAUUCAUCAUAGUAUGCAGAUAAUCGCUGUUUCCAAAGCAAUUUCAUUUACGUUUUUAAAUUAUGCUCCAAAUUCAAAAUUUAGUAGAAAAGUUUAAUAAGUAAAUUUUCCACGAUUUAUACGUGCCAUAAGAUAAAGGAAAAAGAGGGUCCCAUUUAUUAGGGUAUUGGGAUAAGACCACCGGGGAAUUUUAUUUUUUAAAGCCAAUAGUAAUAAAAUAUAAAAAAAAUUGACAGGAGGGGAAUAAGGAAUAAAAGAAACCAAAAACGAAAUGAAUCGAAACUAUAGAAUCCGAGAUAUAAGUAAAAAUGUGGGAAAAACAAAGGAAAACUGUUUUUUUUCCCACCGUACCAUUUUUUUUUCCUAAAAUGACUAUUGGUAAAAUUUAAAGUAUGCCCCAACCUAACAAUUUCCAGUAAAAAAACUCAAUAAAAAAAUAUUUUUUUUUGCUUGAAAAUCGAAAGGGGUACUUACGAAAAAUUUCGAGAAAAUUAUUUUUAUUUUUUUCUAAAUUAACUGUAAGUCUGAUAACUUUUUGUUUCAAACAAAAGUUCUCAGGAAUAUUACGAGGUAUCCGUAUGUCAAAACGAAUCGGUUCUAGCUAUCAUAGAAUCGGAGAAAAUUGAAAAAAAACUAUAAAACAUAAAUAUCGAAUUAUCAUGAGCCCUAUGGAAAAAAAUUAUUUUUUUAUUUUUCUAUCCUGUACUACUUUAGAGUACCUUUAAAAAAGAUUAUUACCGAUUUGACUCUAAAAUUAGCGGAAAACCUAUUUCUUUGCAUUUUUCGAUUUUCGAACAAAAUCCGGGUCAAAAUGAGUGUUUGAGUCCAAUAAGCCGAAAUAAAAGAUUGGUGUAGUUUUUCAUAAUUGUAGCUUUAUUAAAGCUAUUAACCAAAUAAUAUUACUACUAACUACGUAAAAUAAAGUGGACUAUAUUAUAUUUAGAGCGAUAAACGCUCUCCCUAAUGCGUAUUAUUGACUAAAAAGAGAAGACGCGCGCAGUCAAUAAAACGAAUGGGUAGUGUCGCGGUCUUGUGUAAUUUCUCGGUAUUAAGGUGGUGAGGAAGUCACGUAGACGGCGCGAUGCAUUCGGCGUAAUCCAUCAGGACCGGCGUUAAACAAAUAUGUUUCGCAACUCUAACAAUGAGCAUUUUUUCAAAAUAUGCUCCGAAUUCAAAAUUUUUUUUUUUGCUUAAAGGCAACUUAAAAAGUAGUAAAAAAGCUUUAUGACAAAUUUAUCCACGAUUCAUACGAGUAUCACAAUCUAAAGAGAAAGAUCAGGUCCCAUAAGAAGCAAUGUAUUAGGAUAGGAAAAAUUUUUAGGAAAAUUUUUAGGAAAAAGAAAAUUUUAAGGGAAAAAAACCAAUAAAAAAAUUUAUAAACUUAUUGAAUUGAAGCUAUAAAAGCCAUGAUAUCAGUAAUAUAGUAAAAAAAUAUAAAAAAUACACCUUUUUUUGACACCGCAUCAAUGUCUUUUUUUUUCUAAAUUGGUAAACUAUUAAUAUAAAUUUAUUACCAAUUUAGCAACUACCACUAAAAGAACCCUAACUAAAAUAAAACUAUUAUUAAUGUUAUUUUUUUCCAGAUAUUUAUACCUUGUCCUAACCUUUAUGCUGCUAUUACUAUUAUUAUAAAUAUUAUCUUUCUUGUAAAUGCCCUUAAACCUUAAAACUCCCCGUAUAAUUCUAUUUGUAUACUAUUAUUAUCCGCAUAAAUAUCCCGUAAUAUCAAUACCCUCUAUAUAUUUAUUAAUAUUUGUAUUCAUUUUAUUUAUCCUAGUAAUUUAUCAAAAAUCCCUUCAAAAUUGUCCCCAUAAUAUUAAUAAAUCAUUAAUAAAAUAACUCAUGAUGUCACGAGACGAACACGACACGUUUAUAAUUGUUGCCAGACAUCUCCCAUCUUUCUCUAAAACCGCUUUCCUACUCUAAUUUGAAACGCAAAUGGGCCCGUAAAAAAUGUAAAUAAGAUGAGACGUUAGAUGCGCGGCGAAUUUUCCCGCCGCAAUAAAAACCAUUCGAUAAAAGAUAUGCACAUAUUCGGAAAAUUUUAAGUUUCCUGAUAUCGUCACUACCAAUUUCUGAUCAUUUCCACCCAUUUUAAGCCGCUAAUUCUCGAAUUGAAAAAGUCGGAUCCGCCCGAACGUACAAUUUGCCGCCAUGACACCGAAAACCCGCGGUUGCGUCAUCUGGCCAUGUGCGACUCGAUAGUGACGUCGUCCGUAUGCUUUUACAUUGGGUGCUGGACCGCCAACUAUAUUGUACCAUGAGCUGGCUCCCUAUGUCUCCUGGGGUAUGACUGGUUGGACCGGCUUAUUUUUUGGGGUUUUUCUUAAAUAACAGCGCGUUGUGGAAAAACGGUAACAUUUAAAGAAAAACGGUUUUUAGUGGAUUAUAGCCAGAUAGUGUUCGGUGAUUUAAAAAAAAAUGGUUUUCAUAGGUAUCAUAGGUAUAUGCCGGUAUUAAGCGUCAAAGUUAAAAAAAGGUGUAGAGCAAAAACUAAGCUACGUAGAAGGUUGUAGACUAUGUCGAAAAAUAGGAUUUAAGAAGUUCUUAAAACGCUGAAAGUUUGAAAUCUCUAGGUGCCGCCAAUAAAGAGUAAGUAAAAGUAGAAAAAACGGUCAAAAAAAGGCUCAAAAAGGGGUUUAUAUUUGUUAACACAGCUCACCCUGUAUAAUACAUAGCGCCAUGAAUAAUACCUCUAUUUAAUCCUAAAGGAUUAAGUUUUCAAAUGGUGUAAACAAAAAAAAAUUUUUAGAAGUAGAAACAAAUUUAUUUCUCGAAAAAUUCACUAUAUUUUUUUUCGAAAAAAAAAAUUUCAGUUCAGAGCUCGUUUAUCUCGGAAGAAGUUUCUUUUUGAAAAAAAUAGUUUUAACAAAAACGAAAGCUGCAUUUACGUAGAAAAGGGCUGUUUUGUUCGCAUUAUCGGGAACGUUACCGUUUAGGCCCCACAACCGUUUAAGUCCGCGAGGUACCGCGCAAAAAGUUCAAAAUUCAUUCACAGAAAAAUCCGACUUCUAAAGGCUUUAUCUUAAAAAGCGCCGUUUCAGAGCUGCUUUAUAAAAAGGCCUUUAACGUCAAUGAGUCUCAGAAAAUUCGGCUCGGUCACUUUUCCAGAACGACUUAAUCAAAUUUUUUUUCGUCAAAAACCGUUGUUUGCCACGUCACUUCGGGGUGGAUGUGGCGAAAAACAUUUUUUAACCAUUACAUACGCUCAUCCUUCGUACAGAAAACGGUAAAAACACGAAAAAAAAAAUCGCGAUAGAACCAAAGUUAUUAGCGUUUAUGUAACGCAGGGCCGGAAAUCGCUCGAUUUGUCACGAGCACAUAAUAAAUCAAUAAUUAUAUUCUCAAUCAAUAAAUUAUAUUCUCCGCAAACGCAGGUAUCAUUUUCGGCUUGUGAAAGUUCAUUCAACAUUCUGUCGCUUAUUUAUUAUUAAUGGGAUAAACUAAUAAAAGGUUACUACUGGA